GAUUCCCCUAGUAACGGCGAGCGAACCGGGAGCAGCCCAGCUUGAGAAUCGGGCGGCCCCGCCGCCUGAAUUGUAGUCUGUAGAAGCGUCCUCAGCGACGGACCGGGCCCAAGUCCACUGGAAAGUGGCGCCGGAGAGGGUGAGAGCCCCGUCGUGCCCGGACCCUGCCGCACCACGAGGCGCUGUCGGCGAGUCGGGUUGUUUGGGAAUGCAGCCCCAAUCGGGCGGUAAAUUCCGUCCAAGGCUAAAUACCGGCGAGAGACCGAUAGCGAACAAGUACCGCGAGGGAAAGAUGAAAAGGACUUUGAAAAGAGAGUCAAAGAGUGCUUGAAAUUGUCGGGAGGGAAGCGGAUGGGGGCCGGCGAUGCGCCUCGGUCGGAAGCGGAACGGCGUCCAGCCGGUCCGCCACUCGACUCGGGGCGUGGACCGUUGCGGGUCGCGGCGGCGGCCUAAGCCCUCGCGGAUGAUCCCGCGCGCGGAGACGCCGUCGCCUCGACCGGGGAAAGUCAGCACGCGCCGCGUCGGCGUGCCUCACGGCACCAGCGUGCUCUCGGCAAACGGCCUGCGGGCCCCCCAUUCGG
rnacentral:rRNA from 1 species